UCCAAGUUGCUUCGGCGGCGCGGCACCCCUUAACGGGGGCGCCGCAGCCCUGCCUCUCCGGAGGUCCGGGGCGCCCGCCGGAGGUACGAAACUCUGUAUUAUAGUGGCAUCUCUGAGUAUAAAACAAAUAAGUUAAAACUUUCAACAACGGAUCUCUUGGUUCUGGCAUCGAUGAAGAACGCAGCGAAAUGCGAUAAGUAAUGUGAAUUGCAGAAUUCAGUGAAUCAUCGAAUCUUUGAACGCACAUUGCGCCCGGUAGUACUCUACCGGGCAUGCCUGUUCGAGCGUCAUUUCAACCCUCAAGCCCUGCUUGGUGUUGGGGCCCUACGGCUGCCGUAGGCCCUGAAAGGAAGUGGCGGGCUCGCUACAACUCCGAGCGUAGUAAUUCAUUAUCUCGCUAGGGAGGUUGCGGCGUGCUCCUGCCGUUAAAGACCCAUCUUUAACCAAGGUUGACCUCGGAUCAGGUAGGAAUACCCGCUGAACUUAAGCAUAUCAAUAAGCGGAGGAAAAGAAACCAACAGGGAUUGCCCUAGUAACGGCGAGUGAAGCGGCAACAGCUCAAAUUUGAAAUCUGGCUUCGGCCCGAGUUGUAAUUUGUAGAGGAUGCUUUUGGUGAGGUGCCUUCUGAGUUCCCUGGAACGGGACGCCAGAGAGGGUGAGAGCCCCGUAUAGUCGGCCACCGAUCCUUUGUAAAGCUCCUUCGACGAGUCGAGUAGUUUGGGAAUGCUGCUCAAAAUGGGAGGUAUAUCUCUUCUAAAGCUAAAUAUAGGCCAGAGACCGAUAGCGCACAAGUAGAGUGAUCGAAAGAUGAAAAGCACUUUGAAAAGAGGGUUAAAUAGCACGUGAAAUUGUUGAAAGGGAAGCGCUUGUGACCAGACUUGUGCCGGGCUGAUCAUCCAGUGUUCUCACUGGUGCACUCGACCCGGCUCAGGCCAGCGUCGGUUUUCGUGGGGGGAUAAAAGCUUCGGGAACGUGGCACCUUCGGGUGUGUUAUAGCCCGUUGCUUAAUACCUCCGUGGAGACCGA
rnacentral:rRNA from 1 species